rnacentral:rRNA from 1 species
GAUGAACGCUGGCGGCGUGCCUAAUACAUGCAAGUCGAGCGAACAGAUGAGGAGCUUGCUCCUCUGACGUUAGCGGCGGACGGGUGAGUAACACGUGGAUAACCUACCUAUAAGACUGGGAUAACUUCGGGAAACCGGAGCUAAUACCGGAUAAUAUAUUGAACCGCAUGGUUCAAUAGUGAAAGACGGUUUUGCUGUCACUUAUAGAUGGAUCCGCGCCGCAUUAGCUAGUUGGUAAGGUAACGGCUUACCAAGGCAACGAUGCGUAGCCGACCUGAGAGGGUGAUCGGCCACACUGGAACUGAGACACGGUCCAGACUCCUACGGAAGGCAGCGGUAGGGAAUCUUCUGCAAUGGGCGAAAGCCUGACGGAGCAACGCCGCGUGAGUGAUGAAGGUCUUCGGAUCGUAAAACUCUGUUAUUAGGGAAGAACAAAUGUGUAAGUAACUAUGCACGUCUUGACGGUACCUAAGCAGAAAGCCACGGCUAACUACGU